GGGUUAGCGGAGAAUUCACGCGUCUGCCCUCCGCGCACACAUCACUGCCCACCUGCCCCUUCUGCCCGUGCUGCCCGCUCCUCUAUCCUCUCUCUCUCUCUCUCCAGCAUCCUCUUUCUCUCCUUCCUCCCAUGGAGUCGGCCUAGUUCUGCCCGUUGAGAGCGCUCAUAUAUCCUCGAGACCUCCAGAUCUGUGGUCUGUUGCAGUCUCUGCCUCCUCACAACAACAAGGUAACUAACCUCUCCUGUUUAUCUCGCGUUUAUUAACGCAUCUCAACUACUUUUCACGACUGCUACUAGUAGUAUGCAUAUUGCAUAAUCAUAUCUCUUUUGUUCCUCCUGUCAAUUAACCCUAGCUGCCGAGAGGUUGGAUUUCGCACCUGUUCUAGGCUCUGCUCUGGCAGGCCAUGGCAAAUUGUGCUAUGAGCUCGUUUGUGUGCACCUGCAGAGUCUGAAACCGUCAGGCUUCAGCACAGAUUUUCUCACUCGCUGAGAGAAAUAUACUCCUGCUCUUCUUCCUCGUUUUCUGUAUACUCGUUUUCUCUCUUAUCUUUGCCUGGCACUUCUGUGAGCUAGCUAGUGGCAGUAGUACCAUCUGUUCAGAAGAAAAUAUGUGUUUUCGCCUCUGUUCUCUGACCUGCUAGCAGCGGAGGAUAGGGUGGAUUUUUUGCUAGAAUUAGGUGCAACAACUUCUCUGGGGAGAACCGCUUUUUUUCUGCCGGCCCAAACCUUGUUGGGAAAGUAAAAUGUUGCGGGCGGAGGUUUUAAGGUUUCCUGCUGCUUGUGUGCUCCUGCCUCUGGCUACUAACUAACGGUAAAAGUAAAGCCCCGUCUCUGUGACUGACGUGUUGAUUUCUCCUGCCUGCCCACGUGUUCAGCCCCUGCAGAUGGACACCGCCAUGCACCCCGCCGCCGGCGACGACGACGUCCUCGCCGACCUGCUCACCGUCGGCACCGGCACCGACACCGAGGUAAAGCCCAAACGAAAUCCGUGCGGCAAAAAUCACAUCUCUCUGUCGUUUUACUACUAUUUUCGUGUGGGUUACUUUGAUGUUCUUUUUUUCAUCCUCGAGUAGCAUGCGUGUAUUUUUUUAUAUACGAAAAAAGAUGUGUGAAAGAAAAAAAUAAUAUCACGGCCGUUCCAUCCAGCUUUUGUACCGUUGCGAGAGUGAGAUAUGGUUUGGACUUUUCCGGAUGCGGAACCGUGUGGUGCGCUCUAGGCUGCGGUUUUCGGUUGUGGGCUUCAGUUCCGUGUGGGUGGGCCCUGCCUCAGCCCGCUCCUUGCAGCUUGCUUCUUUAUUACAGCUCCUUGCCACCCGGGCCCGAAUAUUCGCUCCCCACAGGCCACGCGAAUAUGCCUUCAGAGAUGCUCUCUCUCUCUCCCUGAAGAAAAAACUUCGUAGCUUAACAUGUAGUCAAGUGACGGUAUACGUGCGUAUUAUGCUACGGUUAAUCACUUUCUUAAGCGUGAGCCAGGCUGUCUUUGACGCGAGAGCUGUCGCGCCCACGGCCCCACCUGUCUGUGCCUGCUCGCCAUUGAGAGUGACACAGGGGACUUUUCUGUAAUUAUUUGCGGUGGGGGUCCUCUGACUAGAGAUAUUUGUGAUAGGGUCGCUUUCUCCUCUCACUGUCCAUGUUUGUCCACAAAGCCAAGGGGCUUCGCUGCAAGUGAGCACCACAUGGUUUUGUCAUUUCUGUGCUCCCAACCACAACAUGGUCCAGAGUAGCAUACAAGGUAUGGAACUGCAUGGACAUGCUUGUGGUUAUGGAGGUAGAUCUUUGUGUCCUAAAUAUAAGUCUUUUUAGAUAUUCCACUAUGGGCUACAUACGGAGUAAAAUGAGUGAAUCUACACUCUAAAAUAUGUCUAUAUACAUCCAUAUGUAAUUUGUAGUGGAAUCUCUAAAAAGACUUAUAUUUAGGAACGGAGGGAUUCAGAAGAUAUAUGGGUUGAAGGUAAACUGGCUGAGCUGUGUAUAAGUGAUAAAACUGAGGUUGUUCAGCCUCUUUAUAAGUGAGGAACUGAGGGGUGAGAUCAGGCUACACUAGCCUGAAGCUUCAGCUGGUCUGCUCCUUUCCUGCUAAAGUGAUAAGCGCUGACAAACAGUGCACAGCAGCCGAUUCUAGGAUAGCAAGCAGGGUUGUUGUUUAUUGAGCUCUGCUCUUUUUGCUCACUAAUAUGACUUGCUGAGUUUACCAUAAGAAAAACGCAUGAUCUGCUUCCAUGCCGCUUGUUACUGACUAGCUUUUGGUCACUUUUAUUAAUCCUUUGUUCUUGUGUUGUGUUUGUGGGUUUUUCAGGUUUUGUUUUCAAGCUUUGGUCUGGAUGUUGGUAUUGUGACUUAACUAUGUUUGCCUGAUUGUUGUACAGGGCAUUAUUUGUGGUAUGCCAGACUUCAAGAUGGGUGGAAAGAGGGGCGAUGAAUCUGCCCCUACUGAUGCUGGUGAUGAAGAUGGCGAAGAUGAUGACGGGGACGAGGAUGGCGACUUCGCGGAGGGCGAAGAGGAAAUCUCGGAAGGAGAGGAGUAUGACAACCCCAAGGCCAGUGACGCCAAGAAGAAACAAAUAGGCGAGGGUGAGGAGAAUGGCGAGGAUGAUGAGGAAGAACAAGAGGAGCAGGAAGGUGGAGGAGGUGACGACGAUGAUGACGACGACGACGACGAUGACAAUGAGGACGAUGACGAUGAUGACGAUGAAGUCGCUGCUGAAGACGAUGAGGAUGGAGUAGAAGAGGAGGAUGACGACCAGGACAACGACAAUGACGAGGAGGACGACGACGAGGACUCGCUCCAGCCCCCGAAGAAGAGGAAGAAGUGAAGCCCUUCGACGCGGCUGCUUUAGUCACCAUGCGAUGAGAUGUGCCUGUUCUUCACUGUGUUCUGGAAACUUUCCUUAGAGUUAAAAAUGCCCCACACGAUCACAAUGUGUGGGCUUGUAGGAGCGAUUAGAGGGAACUUUGUUGUCAUCGUUGUUUUGCUUCUGUGGAGUUGAUCGAACAGAUGUUUCGCUAACAUAAUUGUACCCGAGUGGCGAAAGCCUCAAGAUUUGAAUAUGUCAGUCAACUCUUUUUAUCUCCUUCCGGCAUCGUUCUGUGCAAUCUUGUUCAGAACACAUUGUGUUGGUAGCUCCUUAAAUAAGGCCAAAUCACAUUGUUGAUAGCUCCUGGAUUUAUCGUGGGUGCUGUCUG
rnacentral:lncRNA from 1 species